UACGGAAGGGGCAAGCGUUGUUCGGAAUUAUUGGGCGUAAAGGGCGCGUAGGUGGUUGGGCAUGUCCGCUGUGAAAGUACACAGCUCAACUGUGUCCCGUCGGUGGAAACUGCUCAACUUGAGGCUGGAAGGGGCUGGUGGAAUUCCCUGUGUAGCGGUGAAAUGCGUAGAGAUGGGGGAGAACACUCGUGGCGAAGGCAGCCAGCUGGACCAGUCCUGACACUAAGGCGCGACAGCGUGGGGAGCAAACAGG
rnacentral:rRNA from 1 species